rnacentral:rRNA from 1 species
UACAGAGGUCUCAAGCGUUUGUUCGGAUUCAUUGGGCGUAAAGCGUGCGUAGGUGGCGUGUUAAGUGUGAUGUUAAAUCGUGUGGCUCAACCAUAUCGAUGUGUCGCAUACUGGCAUGCUAGAGGACAGCAGAGGCAAGUGGAAUUUGUAGUGUAGCAGUGAAAUGCGUAGAUAUUACAAGGAACACCAAUGGCGAAGGCAGCUUGCUGGGCUACUCCUGACACUGAGGUACGAAAGCGUGGGGAGCGAACAGG